UCUUAACAAGCUUGUCUUAAGUAACAAUAAAUUGUCGGGUUCGAUUCCGUACGAAGUGGGCCGGUUGGAUCGGUUAAGGGAAUUUUCUGUUGCUGGGAAUGCUCUGUCUGGAUCAAUACCGUCUGAUCUUGCGAAAUUUAAAGGAGAAAGUUUUGAAGGGAAUAAAGGACUCUGUGGGAAUCCUUUGGGGAAAUGCCGAGGGUCGCCUGACAAAGAUAAUUUGUCUUUACUUGAUGAAAUCGGUCAAGUGGAAACGCUGCUAGGGAGAGAAGAAGAUGGUGGUAAGGUCGACUGACAAAGGGAACGACAAUCGAUCAUUGGAGAUGGAA